rnacentral:rRNA from 1 species
UACGUAGGAAGCGAGCGUUAUCCGGAAUUACUGGGCGUAAAGCGCGCGUAGGUGGUCUUUCAAGUCGAAUGUGAAAUUUCCCGGCUUAACCGGGAAGGGUCGUUCGAUACUGUUGGACUAGAGAGCGGCAGGGGGAAGCGGAAUUCCCGGUGUAGUAGUGAAAUGCGUAGAUAUCGGGAGGAGCACCAGUGGCGAAGGCGGCUUCCUGGGCUGUUUCUGACACUGAGGCGCGAAAGUGUGGGGAGCGAACAGAAUUAGAUACUCUGGUAGUCCACACUGUAAACGAUAGGUACUAGGUAUAGGGAGUAUCGACCCUCUUUGUGCCGAAGCUAACACUUUAAGUACCCCGCCUGGGGACUACGGCCGCAAGGCUAAA